GUAUAGCUAAGCAUGAUUUUGCAAUUAUAAAAAAAAUCCAAAGUAUUCUCCAAUUUUCAAAACCGUAGCCCACAGUGAAAAUAAAUAUAAGAAACUUGUCAUUCACAAAGAAUGUUGCAGACAUCUUGUUUCAAUAUUUACAGUUGAAUGAUUCAAUCUUUUAACGCAACUGCAUUGCCAACCAUACAUAGUGGCAUGGACAGAUAAAUCAAGCAUUUUGGUAAGUCAAUAAAGUCUUGUUUCUAUUCUUCAUGGUAUCUUUAGUGAUCCAAUCUUGUGUGAUGUAGUUCUUACGACGUUGACACAUCAUUCUAGGUCAACAUUGGCUUUAUGAUCAAUAUACUCAACAUGAUAAAACUACUAACACUUACUGUCUUAUGUGCAGUGUAAAAAAUAUAGUUUUAAAGUCUCGGACUACAGAAGAGAUAAACAAAUAUAAACAUCUAAAAGUACUGAUAGUAUUCUUGUCUACUCAUUGUUUUAUGUGAGUUUUUUAUCACAUUGGUUGAUAGUACUGAUGACAUGGUGCCAUUGGAGGAUGUUGAGGAAGAUAGUUGCAACACCUUCUGUUUUGACAUAAUUGUGUGCAAGGAAAGAAGGGCAUGUUAUCAAUAUUAGGGCAUGCUUAAGUAUCACAAAGGGUGGUAAAUGCAUAUAUCAGGAGGAAUCUAAAUAAUUGAUGGAUGAUAAAACAUUAGAAUUCUUCUGCUCUGAAAAAGCUGCAACCUGUAAUUGUCAUUACAAAUAGGCAAACCGUGGAUUUUUGGAGGCAUUGCAGAUUAUCGAAAAGGAACUUGGAAAAAAUUAGAGUGGAAUCAAUAAUGGAAAGGGGGUUGUGGGUGAUGACAGUGUCAAGAGAUAUGUUCUCAUUGAUUCACCGGUCCUUGGUAUUCUUGCAAGUGUGGGUACUUAUCAAAAGGGGGAGUCAACUUCUUCUGAAGCUUGGUUAACUUCACCCCAGGAUGGAAGUGAAAUAGAGGGAAGGUGUAAGGUGCAUUUCAAGAGGAUUUUUUGCCAGAGACAGUGAUGUUUCUUCUGUUGGCUUCUUAGAAUUGGAAGAGAGACUUUGUUGUAGAAUUUGGAGGAAGAUAGCUUUAUGGCUUCUGAUCAUUUGGGGAAUGAAGAUGAACAUGGGGAAAUAAUGGAAGGAACUACAGUGAAUUAGAUAAGGAGGCUUUGGCAAAUUGAAGAAUCUCUUUGGACAUUCAGCAUGUCAGGGAGUGGGCUCUAUUGGAUCUAUCAGCUUGUAGCAGCUUUUACGGAGGUUGGAUUAGAAUCAGCUAAGAGAUUGAAACUUGAUCCUGAAGAGGGAGUCAACCCUUCUUCUCUAAGUAAUACCUCUCUCAAUAAUGUACUUCAGUCUGUUCAUUUACUUCCUAGCCUCAUCAACCAGAUCUUGUUUUCUUUUCAGGUGAUGACUGUGUGGAUGGUAAAUCUUGUAACAAGAUCCUUUCCUGUUGGGUUGUGACUGAGAGAACUUUGAGUCUCUUAUGUUGCAAAUAGCUAAGUGCCAAAUGAUAAUCAUUUUUCUAUAAACCCAGUAAUGGCAGGACCAGACAUUAAGAAUCCUAACAACAUUCUUUAAAAGUUAGAUUUAGAUUGGUGGGACCUUAUUUAAUGAAGCUAGGGUGGUCUCAUGUAUGACCCAUAUGAAAAAGAACUAGAGAAAACUCAAACUUCAAAUAUUAGCAUCCUUGAACCAAUAUGGUAACCUGAAAGGGAGAAGGGAAAGGUUACAACAUCAUGAAGGUUAUUAGAGAAUUGAAUGGUUUGGUCAAUGCCCUUAAACUGAAGAAGGUUAAAGAGGUUAUGUCUUGGGUGGGUCGGGAUAUAGUUUGAUUGUGGAAACCAAAAGGAGUGAGUGAAAUAAUAUUCUGACUUGGUUGUGUUGGGUUCUAAGGCUUAAGGGGUUGGAUCUUGUACCCUUCUUGUGGGGCCUUGAGUUGUAUGCUUGUGGUUUGGGAAAGGUUGCUUCUUUUGUUGGCUCCGUUGGGAAUUGUUAUUUUGUAAUUCACUCUAUUUCUGGAUAGUAACUGCUUGUAAAUUUGGUAACUGCUUGUGAAGUGUCCUUGCGAGCUUCUGUCCAUGUGUGUGUGUGUACAUGGACAAGGCAGUUGAAGUAUCUUGUUUUUCUCUCUCUUUGCAUAGAUAUUUAUUCAUUUUAUGGGAUUUAUUCCGUAUAUAUUUCUCUCUCUCUCUCUCCUAUUUUGUGUUGUAUUUAUCUCUUUCUCUUUUCGAAGUGACUUCUUUUUCAUGUUUAUUGAAAUGGUUGUUGUUUUCAGGGAAUGCAUAACUGUAUUCUUACACUUAUUUCAAGGAAGUGCAAAAAUUGUUCACGGAAGACAGUGAAUUUACCUCUUGUAGGGGAGAUGUCUAUUCUGUCGCUCCUAGUUCUUUUACUUUGUGUUGCAUUUGCUAUUUUCUGGAUUGCAACUCGGCGCGCAUCAUAUUCCUGGAUUGGCCAAGAUAUUCUUGUAAUCUGUUUGACA